rnacentral:rRNA from 1 species
AGUGAACGCUGGCGGUAGGCCUAACACAUGCAAGUCGAACGGCAGCACAGAGGAGCUUGCUCCUUGGGUGGCGAGUGGCGGACGGGUGAGGAAUACAUCGGAAUCUACUCUGUCGUGGGGGACAACGUAGGGAAACUUACGCUAAUACCGCAUACGACCUACGGGUGAAAGCAGGGGACCUUCGGGCCUUGCGCGAUUGAAUGAGCCGAUGUCGGAUUAGCUAGUUGGCGGGGUAAAGGCCCACCAAGGCGACGAUCCGUAGCUGGUCUGGGAGGAUGAUCAGCUACACUGGAACUGAGACACGGGCCAGACUCCUACGGGAGGCAGCAGUGGGGAAUAUUGGACAAUGGGCGCAAGCCUGAUCCAGCCAUACCGCGUGGGUGAAGAAGGCCUUCGGGUUGUAAAGCCCUUUUGUUGGGAAAGAAAUCCAGCUGGCUAAUACCCGGUUGGGAUGACGGUACCCAAAGAAUAAGCACCGGCUAACUUCGUCCCAGCCGCCGCAGUAA